AAAGGUGGCAUCAUCUAUAAAAAGGGGAAAAAGGCCUCUAAUCAUCUGAUUUGUGUGACAAAAGAAAACCAUCAAUGAGUUGUGAGAGUUUUGUGCAAUAAAACAAAGAGGAAGGGGUGUUGAUUUUGUUGUGGCAUCUUCCUCUCUUGGCGUGAGUUCUUAGGCACACCUCUUCUUGGUAUGGAGAACAUCCAUCUUGAGGCAUCUUUGCAUGGAGAUCAGAUCUCAACCUUCCUUGCUUCCUUUCUGAAGGUUUGGCACCU
rnacentral:lncRNA from 1 species